UACGUAGGGUGCAGGCGUUAAUCGGAAUUACUGGGCGUAAAGCGUGCGCAGGCGGUUUGCUAAGACAGGUGUGAAAAUCCCCGGGCUUAACCUGGGAACUGCGCUUGUAACUGGCAAGCUAGAGUGUGGCAGAGGGGGGUGGAAUUCCACGUGUAGCAGUGAAAUGCGUAGAGAUGUGGAGGAACACCGAUGGCGAAGGCAGCCCCCUGGGCUAACACUGACGCUCAUGCACGAAAGCGUGGGGAGCAAACAGG
rnacentral:rRNA from 1 species